CGACCUGGUUCACACCGGUUUAAACUCAGAUCAUGUAAAAUUUUAAAGGUCGAACAGACCUAAUUUUCUAGCAACUUCACCAGCAAUUAAUUUUAAUCCAACAUCGAGGUCGCAAUCUUUUCUUUCGAUAAGAACUCUAAAAAAAAUUACGCUGUUAUCCCUAAGGUAAUUUAAUCUUCAAAUCUUAAACUUAGGAUCUAAUUUUCAUAAAUUAAUGUUUAAUUGAAAGAAAAGUUUAGUUAAUUUUCCUAUCACCCCAACAAAACACAAUAAUAGUUUAAUAAAUUUUAAUCUUAAACUUUUUAAACUACUAAUUAUGUAAAACUCUAUAGGGUCUUCUCGUCUUCUAUUCACAUUUAAGCCUUUUAACUUAAAAAUAAAAUUCUAAUAAAUUCCUCUAGAGACAGAAUUCUUUUCAUUAAACCCUUCAUACAAGCUUUCAAUUAAAAAACUAAUGAUUAUGCUACCUUUGUACGGUCAAUAUACCGCAGCCAUUUAACUUAUCAUUGGGCAGGCUGGACUUGAAAUUAAAAUCAACAAGCCAUGUUUUUAAUAAC
rnacentral:rRNA from 1 species